UACGGAGGGUGCAAGCGUUAAUCGGAAUUACUGGGCGUAAAGCGCACGCAGGUGGCUGAGUCAGUCGAUUGUGAAAGCCCUGGGCUUAACCUGGGAAUUGCAGUCGAUACUACUCAGCUAGAGUAUGGGAGAGGGCAGUGGAAUUCCCGGUGUAGCGGUGAAAUGCGCAGAUAUCGGGAAGAACACCCGUGGCGAAGGCGGCUCUCUGGGACGGUACUGACGCUGAGACGCGAAAGCGUGGGGAGCGAACAGG
rnacentral:rRNA from 1 species